GUGAUGGCACGCAGCGAUCACGCGCGGGGACGGCGGCGCGAUUUCGGGCGCUUGCCCGAGGUAGGGGAUGACCCCGACAGAUGGGCCCCACCUGUCAGGGGCUCAGGCGCGCGCGCACGGGCGGCUCGGUCGGUCGGGCCGGCUCGGCCGGUUCGGGGCCGGUGCGGCCCAAGCGGUCGGACCGGUCUGGUUCACCCCUUUUUUUUCUUUUCUUUUUCCCUUUUUCCUAUUUCUUUGAUAACUUUUGAUUUUGAACUCCAAAUUGGUCCAACUAAAUUUCAGAAAAUUUGUAAAAUCAUGUUCUAUCAUGAUACAACUUUUGGGAGUAGUUUCCCCUCAAAAUAAAAUAUAUAAAAAUACAUUUGCCUUAUAAAUGCCUUUAGGGCUAUAUAUCUAUUAAGUAAAAUACUUUUUCCACUCCAAAUAAUUACCCAAAAUUUUUGGGAUAGCUUAUAUAUGCAAUAAACCCCUUUUAUACUUAAACCUUAAUGGUUUGAAGAUCCAAAGCUCAAAUGGGUGUAAACCCUAGGGUUUAAAAUGAAAUAAAAAAUCUUUCCAAAGCCCUUUUGAGAUUCAAAUUUGAAUUCAAAUAUGCAAUUGUGGCAU
rnacentral:lncRNA from 1 species